rnacentral:rRNA from 1 species
AUUGAACGCUGGCGGCAGGCCUAACACAUGCCAGUCGAGCGGAUGAAGGGAGCUUGCUCCUGGAUUCAGCGGCGGACGGGUGAGUAAUGCCUAGGAAUCUGCCUGGUAGUGGGGGAUAACGUCCGGAAACGGGCGCUAAUACCGCAUACGUCCUGAGGGAGAAAGUGGGGGAUCUUCGGACCUCACGCUAUCAGAUGAGCCUAGGUCGGAUUAGCUAGUUGGUGGGGUAAAGGCCUACCAAGGCGACGAUCCGUAACUGGUCUGAGAGGAUGAUCAGUCACCUUGAAACGAGAACACGUUCAGACUUCCAAGGGAGGCCGCAGUUGGGAAUUUUGGAACAUGGGCGAAAGGCUUAUCCCGGCCUUGCGGGUGGGUGAAGAAAGUUCUUCGAUUGGUAAACCCCUUUAGGUGGGAGGAAAGGCAGUUAGGUUAAACCCUGCCUUUUUUAACUUUCCCAACGAAUAAGCACCGGCUAACUUCGUG